rnacentral:lncRNA from 1 species
CGGCUUCAAAAGUACAAGCCUUUUGGUUGAUUAUUCAAUUUCUUGUAUUAUUGAUAGUGUCAUACUGUCAUGUUAAAACAAGAAGAACCCCAUGCUCAACUGCAGUUUUAGCCAGUUUUCCUUGGCCUUUUGGCUCUCUUUCUACUUACUUCACUUCAUCAGCUAAUCUAUUGAACUUGUGAUAUAUUACUUGGCCAACACUUCAGAAAUCUCUUCUUCUUUAAAAACAACAGGAAUCGACAAACCAAAUCAGCUCCAAUCGUUAUGGCCCUUUUGGUGGAAGGAACGAUCACCUGAAAAAUUAAGAACAAAAUUAAUUGCGAAUGAGCAAAAACAAAUAAUUAAAUUAAGGUUUGUGAGGUAGAUAAGUGGGAUAUAAGAAUCAACCCAUCUCAAAUUGAAGGGCACGAAUUCCUACCAGGUCCCAAAACAAUACGUUAAGAAUAGCUUUAUGCAAGUUAACUGCCCCGCCAAGAAUUAUAAGCAUUUUGAGAAUAAGGCCACUUAUAAAGUUCUUCAGUUUUAUAUUCUAAGCACCAAAUUUUUCUGAGAAGGUCAGUCUGAUUCCUCUGAUCCUGGUUUAGGCUCUAUAAUCUGAAGUUGCUAAUUUCGCAUAUGCUUCACAAGAAAGCAAAAAUUACAUUGCAUAUUGAAACAGGGUCAUUGCACCAAAUUUUUGUAACCGCAUCA